rnacentral:rRNA from 1 species
GACGAACGCUGGCGGCGUGCUUAACACAUGCAAGUCGAGCGGUAAGGCCCUUUCGGGGGUACACGGGCGUCGAACGGGUGAGUAACAGGUGAGCAAGCUGACCCUGUCUCUGGGAUAACCACUGGUAACGGUGACUAAUACCGGAUAUGACUUCCUUCUUCAUGGUUGGUGUUGGAAAAGCCCGGUCGAUCGGGCUGAGCUCGCGGGCUAGCAGCUUGUUGGAGUGGUAAUGGCAUACCAAGGCGACGACGGGUAGCCAGCCUGCGAGGGUGACCGGCCACACUGGUACUGAGAGACGGCCCAGACGCCUACGGGAGGCAGCAGUGGGGAAUAUUAGACAAUGGGCGAAAGCCUGAUCCAGCAACGCCGCGUGAGGGAUGACGGCCUUCGGGUUAUAAACCUCUUUCAGCAGGGACGAAGCGAACGUGACGGUACCUGAAGAAGAAGGACCGGCCAACUACGUG